rnacentral:rRNA from 1 species
AGUGAACGCUGGCGGCGUGCUUAACACAUGCAAGUCGAACGGACUUUAAGGGGCUUGCUUCUUAAAGUUAGUGGCGCACGGGUGAGUAAUGUAUAGCUAACCUGCCCUUUAGUGGGGGACAACAGUUGGAAACGACUGCUAAUACCGGAAUAUUGAAACAUAAGUGGCAUCACUGAGUUUUGAAAGAAUUUCGGUGGAGGAUGACUUCGCGGCCUAUCAGCUAGUUGGUGAGGUAAUGGCUCACCAAGGCAACGACGGGUAGCCGGCCUGAGAGGGCGACCGGCCACACUGGGACUGAGACACGGCCCAAACUCCUACGGGAGGCAGCAGUGGGGAAUCUUGCGCAAUGGGCGAAAGCCUGACGCAGCCAUGCCGCGUGUAUGAUGAAGGUCUUAGGAUUGUAAAAAUACUUUCACCGGUGAAGAUAAUGACUGUAGCCGGAGAAGAAGCCCCGGCUAACUUCGUG